rnacentral:sRNA from 1 species
UACUUUGUUAGCGUCGACAAUUUUUUGU